CGAAAGUAAUCCAACAUGUACGGAAACUACUCCACUGCUCCCAGAAACGAAGGACCAAAACCGAAAAUCGCAGGAUGAAGGGCAACUUGUCCUCGGUGGCAUUGGGCAUCACUCUUUCUUGGUCUUCGCCGGUUAUAUCAAAACUGAAUGGAGAAGUUUCAACCGUUGAUUUGCCAUUGGGCCGACUGAUAACAGACGAAGAGGAAUCCUGGAUUGGUUCCUUGGUGACUCUAGGAGCCGCUUCGGGUCCUUACAUAGGCGCCUUUCUAGCCGAUUCCAUAGGUCGAAAGAAGACUCUUAUAUUUGCAGCGGGAAUUCCCAGCUUCAUUAGUUUCGUCAUCUUAGCUUUCGCAACGAAUUUGUACGUCUAUUAUUUCGCUAGGUAUAUAGGAGGACUUGCUAUAGGAGCCAUUUACACUGCGCUACCCAGUUAUGUAUCCGAAAUAUCGGAAGAUGUUAACAGGGGUGCUACAGGAUGCGCUAUGAAUAUUUUUAUCACAUUAGGACUGAUAUGGUCGUACAGCAUAGGCCCUUUCGUUUCGAUAAGAACGUUUAGUUUGAUUUGUGCCGUCGUUCCUCUAACGUUUAUAAUAUUAUUUUCAUUUUUUCCUGAAAGUCCGUACCAUUACGCGGCUAAAAACGAUUUGGAUAAAGCCCACAAUGCAUUAAGCAAAGUAAGAAUGAAGACGAUCGACGAAAUAAAAGGCGAAAUGAAAACGAUAAAGGACACUGUUGACGGGCAAAUGAAAGACAGAAAAGGCAUCUGUGAUUUAUUCAAAACAUACGGAAGUGUAAAAGCUCUUAUUAUUUGUAUGAGCCUCGUAGCUUUCCAACAAUUUUCCGGUAUAAAUGUGGUAUUAUUUUACACUCAAACAAUUUUUGAAGCAACCGGAAGCAGCAUAUCUUCAAUUUUAUCUUCGUUCAUAAUUGGCUUAGUGCAGUUAAUCCCCAGCGCAAUUACGUCACUUAUUGCGGACUCGUUGGGUCGCAAAGUCACCCUCUUAUUUUCCGCUCUGGGCCAGAUACUGUCCUUGUUUCCUUUAGGUCUUUACUUUUUUUUAAAAGAGAAAGGAAACAAUGUGGAAGCUGUUUACUGGUUACCUGUUACGUGUCUUGUUAUAUACAUUGUAACUUUUCGGGUUGGGUUCGGACCCUUGCCCUGGACCAUAAUGGCCGAGUUAUUCCCACAGAAUAUAAAAACAGCGGCGUGUACGAUUACCGGUUCCUUUUGCUACAUUUUGGCCUUCGUUAUAACCAAGUAUUUCCAAACUGUCACAUAUUACAUAGGAAUGGGAGGGGGGUUUUGGAUUUUCACUGGAUUUUGCAUCUCAUCUUUUUUAUUUAUUUAUUUUUACGUUCCGGAAACGAAACAAAAAAGUUUUUUAGAAAUUCAAGAUAUAUUACAUGGACGUCAUAUAGGCAGAAGCAGAUGUUAAAAAUAACUCUAGUGAAAUUUAGUUAGUCUAAUUAUAAUAACCUACUUAAUUAAAAAACUAUUUGUUGAAAUAAAUUUAAAAGAUAUUCAUGUACCUAGAAUGUUUUGCUCCAUGUGUAUAUUUACGAGUUUUUUAUUUUGUUCAUCGUACUUAACAACAGUUGUACGUGCUGAAUUAUAAAAUAAACGAUUAGACAGUAAUCUAGUUAAAGUUAGAAAUUAAUGCGUGCACCUCCACAAUGAAAAUGCACCUAUACAGAGAUAGCCAUUUACCUACAUAUGUUGAAAAUUCCAUUCAUUCUUUUAAUAGGAAUUUGUGACAAUUUAUUCUAGAAACAGUAAAAUUCUGAUACAUGUACCGUGAUUAUCCCUCGUUGUAGCCAAUGAUACCCCCAAAUAAAAUCAGUAUAAGAUAAAUAAAGCAGAGUUGUCCAACUUUUGGCAUCAGAAAAGAAGACUUAUAAUUUUCAGCGGUUCUAAAAACCCAGAUGUCCUGGCUCCUGAACAUAACUUUAUUUUUCCGAACAGCUAAAUAAAGAAAGUUGGUCACUUUUUUCCUAAAGUUUUCAAGUUUUAUUACAACCCUCAUACAUAAACAUGUUUAAUACUUGAAUUUAUUAUUUGACUCUUAAAUCCUAUACAGGAAAAAUUUGAACUUAUUCAACUUAUAGGCCUCCUCCUCCCCUUAUAGCCUUCCUAACCUCACCAACCAAUGAGAAUUUAUUCAUUAUAUUUUGAAACAUCGUUAAAUUCCUAAAAUUAAAAUAUGUAAUUGCUAUAGACGAUAAACAUUAAUUGCUUACUGAACAUCUGCUGUAUGUUUUAACAAGUAUUAAACACGAAAAAUGUGUCAACCGAGGCUUCUACUCACUUGCUGCCGAAAUCAAAACAAGUAAGUGCCUAACUUGAAAACUUUUGGAAGUUUUACUCGGAAAUUAUUAUCUAUAAAGUAUUUUAAUACUGAUAUAUAACACCCAACUCGUUAACUAAUUUUUGCUUAUAAAAAAUACUUUUAUAAAAUCUAUUUAAAUUAUUCGCUAAAUUAUUUGGAAACCUUACUUUAUGACUCAACGUUCUCUAUUAUUUCUUAAUACAAAAACUUUUCUUAAUUGCCAUAGAUAAUUUAUUUCUUUUAGCUUCUUAUUAUUUCAGGGAAAUGCGAAGAUUACCUUAGGAUUGGAAAAAGUUGAAGGGCGUGACCAAUCAACACAUUUAUUUAUUCCUAAUCCUCACAUUGACAUCAUCAAGCUUUAGGUCAUUUUCCCAACUGGUAAUUACACAACACACAAUCAAUCGAGCCUCAAUAUGGAUGUCAAUCUAUCUUCCUUCUCUCUGAAACAGAAACUCCUGCGACGGUAGUGGUAAUGGCAUACAUGGGACUUACAAAUCUAUGGUUCUCUUGAUAAAUUUACAUUUUAAAACCCUGACAAACACGACGCAAUUAUGAACAAAAGUUCAGAGUAGUGAAAUAUUCCACCGUACCUACAUCCCCAACUCCUCCUGGUUGGCUGAGAACCCUCCACCACCCCUGCAAACUCAUCAACUGUUCUGCGGGCCUCAAAAUGUCUUUUCAUACCAGUGAAGUGGAUGCCAAGAGAAAAGGUCAAUUAAAAAGAAUUAAAAACACCCAAUGGGGGAACGAGGCAUCCAAACUGUUUGUGGCGUUUCAUGAGCAGUAAUAUAGUCCGGUUGCGUCAUAUUUGGGACUUGUUUACCAACGAAUUGUGGUAUGUUGAAGUCCUUUCUAACACCCUUGAAGUCUUUGGAACUUUUGCCGAUUACUCUCGGACAUUUUGGGACCUUUAUGAAGAAAAUACAAUUGCCAACCAACGUCAAACACGACGCAAUUAUGAACAACAGUUCAGAAUAGUGAAAUAUUCCACCGUACCUACAUCACCAACUCCUCCUAGUGCGUUGAGUCCCUCCACCACCCCCGCAAACUCAUCAACUGUUUUGCGGGCCUCAACGUGUUUUUCGUACCUGUGAAAUGGAUGUUCAGACAAAAGGUUAGUUAAAAAGAAUUAAAAACACCCAGUGGGUGAAGCAAGCAACCAAACGGCUUAAGGCGUCCCACCGGCUAUAAUAUAACUUGGUGGCAGCAUAUGUAAACCAAUGUAAUGUUUUGGUUUGUUGAUGUCCUCUUUAACAUCCCUGUAAUCUUUUGAACGGUUUAUUUGUCGAUUACUUCGACAUUUCGGCUUAGCGUCCGAAGGACUAUUGGGUAACAGAGUUAUCUCCUUCAGAGACUGAAAAGAACUUAAAACUACAGAAUCAAAUUAAAUUAGAGUAAACAGUGAUUCCAAUAAUGUUUGAAAUCAUAAUCGUACAGCUCCAUGUUUUUGUUUCCUUCUGGUUCCUAAAACAUACUAUCAAACAUGUCCUGCACAAAGGCACAUUACUUCUUGUGCUUAUAUAGACCUGGUGUCUCUGCUGACACUAGCCUUCUUCCUAUUAGCACCAACACCAAAAUAAAAACCUCAACAUACAUAAUAGGUAGGAAUUUAUCUUCGACGUGCUAUUUUUUUACCCUCCUCGUCCCGAUCAUCUAAACUGUAAUCGUACAACUCCAGGGAUCUAUUCUAUUCUAUUUGCUUCCUGUUCCUAAAACAUACUCUCAAACGUGUACCUGUACAUGCCCGAAGGCACAUUUAUUGACCUGGUGUCUCUGCGGACACUAAUCUUCUUCCUAUUAACACUAACACCAACCCGCAUUUCACUCGAUCCGAAAACGACACGAAAAAUGAAAAGGGAAAACCACUAACAAAACAUUUGGGUGUAGUGGGUUUCGCUUGCCAUUGCGCUAAAAGUCUCAUUGGGAUGGAUAGCAAAUACCGCAAAAAAUUGACCCUCCGCCAAGUUUGUAUUGAACUGAGCAGACUGUUGCCUCCAAGACUGAUACCUAUCAUUAUGAUUUUCUAACGAAGAAGAGUGGAGAUAACGAAGUCGAGACAACAGAACCACGACAAUAUUAAAAGGAGAUAUUUAUGGUUUUCAAGAGGAUGGAGAACAAACAUUUUCAUCAAACAACGAACACCCCAACUAAACAAUAACGUGACGGAUACACUUCGAUCGCGAUGUUAACGAUAUGUGUGAUCAUGUUUGGUUGUUUUAAUCGAUCGAUGUUCUUCUUUCUCUUCUCAAGCGAGAAGAGAAAGAUUGACCCACGGAAACCUGAAAAAGAAAAUAGGUAAAAUUGUUAGUAUCAUCGUUUAAAAAGAUAUUUGGUUGGAUGUAAAGUACUUCACUUACCGGUCAUGCUGAAACAGAAUCGAAGAUACAAGAUUAGUAAAAGGUAAAACAUAUAAUAUAUUAUUGAUACCCCACCCACUGAUAGGGUGGUAGUACGUACUUACUUCAUUACCAACAUACUUAUAUUCCCACUCCUUGAUUUUAAGCUUAACGAAAUUUAUGUAGGCACCCAGUGAUAAAAUUCGAAAGUUAUGUAUUUCUAAUUUGUGACAUGUAUAUUUGCUUUGAAAGAACUAAGAUUUUAGAUGUGCAGCAGUAAAAUAAAUGAAAUUUCGUAAUUGAAAAAAAACAUUAAAACGACAAAAUGUAAAUUGAGAAUGGAAUAUGAAAAGAAAUCCUGUGUGCCGUUAAGCAUUGUAAAUGUGGUGGCAACAGUGGCGUAAUUCGUGUUGGACGAGAACGACAUUAUGUAAUAGUCGAAAUUGUGGUAAGCCGAAGACGAUCGCUUUUUAAUACUAUGAAUGAAUACGAUGAAUAAAAAAGAAACCUUGCUUGCUUGGUUUAUAUGUUUCACUAAAUUAUUUUUUAGAUUUCACUCUAAAAUAUCCAUCGUCAAAGUGCUAAUAACUCCAGUUGAGAAUAUUAACUCUUUGAUGAUAUCAUUACAGCCGAAAUACACGUUAGAGAAAAAUCCAUAAAAGUGUUUCUUUUUUAUUCAUCAUCAUAGAAAUCAAGUACCUAAAUUAAAAAUUAGUAAUCACUCCUACAUGCCCAUUGGACGAACGCUUAUUACCUGGCUGGCUACCUGUAGGUAGGUACUCGAGCGCAAAAGAAAAAAAUAAAUAGUAAAUUUGGAAAAUAGUACCUACAAUUAACAUUUAAUUAUGGCAAUUGAAUUGAAGUUAAAAAUUAAAAAUUAAAUCAAAAAACUUGGGACUUUCACUUAAAACUUUAUUAAAACCUCGAUACGUAUCUUCAGGAGUAACAAAAACUAUACUAAUUAACAAACAGGAAAUAAAUUAAUUUAUAGAGAUUUAUUCCUAAGAGGGUGGGUGGGGGUUGAACAAUGUUUGGGUCUAAUAUAUAAAUUAAUUUAUUUACUGUUUGUUAAUUAGUAUGGUUUUUGUUACUCCUUUUUUGACUUAAUUUUUAAUUUUCAAUCAUGUUUCACCAAGUGAUAACGGCAGAUACCCUGAAUUGAAGUUUUAAAAAUUUACUAAAUUAAGGAGAAGAUGAAUAAUACGAUUUUUUCCUUUCGAAAAAUUUUCACCUAUAUUUAUGCGGUAGAUGAGACGUUAUUCAUUUUCCCCUUAAUUUCAAAUUAAAAUUUCACAAAAUAUCAAAUGAGUUAUUAAAAACGAACAAUUUACUGGCAACAUUAAAAAUUUAAUGAAUUUAAAUAAAUUGGAAUUGGCGCCAACCUUAAACCGAUUCGCGAGCCGCCGCCACUGUUAUGCCAGAAGAAGGUAUAGGUAAUGCACUAUACCUUGACGCGCAACACUUUUCGCUGUCUUCCUCCUUCCUCACUACACUAUUGUAAAUACACUAGCUGAAAAAAUAUCAAAUAGACCCAAUGAGUGACAAGUAAACAUACACAUAAAAUAAAAGUGUAAAUAAUAUUAUUUAUGGUAUAUGUAGGUGUACGUGGAACCAAACCCCGAAAAGACAGCGUGGACAAAACACCAUGUAUGUAGGUAUGCAUUGAAAUAAGGUAAUCACAAUUUUAAAUGUUCUCCGUGUCCUAACGUCACAUCCCUAAAAAGCAACAAUAAAUACGGUAGGUAGGUAUGUCUUGUAGAUAAUAAUACGGCGUAAAGGACCUAAGGCAGCAACUAAUAAUCACAUAAGUAAUCCAAGUAUUAAGAAUCAAAGUUUGACGUAAUACAGGCGCCGUGCCUGCACACGUCGGUCCCUAGCACGCGGAGCGACUCAAUUGGAUAAUAUGGCAAUGGACCACCAGAGGAGCCCAAUAAUACGCUAACUUACCGUUUGUAAGCCACCUUAUUGGGUGCAAAAAUCAAAUUAGCCCCAAAGUAAUAAAAAUCAAAAAAUACAAAUACAAAUGGAAAUAUAAAAACUUGCACUCGGGUCUAUUUGAAACAAUAUUCAUUAGUGACUUACUUUUAGGCGUCGGCUAGACCUCAGUAGGGUUCACCGAAACCUUAAUCUAUCCAGCGUCGGAUGUCCACGGUCCUCAUCCUCUCCGUGAUGAAUGAUGGUGGUGGAUGGUAGGGAGGGUAGGUAGGUAGGUAGGUAGGUAGGAAGGUGCCAGAGACUGAGCGGAGGGGAAAUCCAUCGAGUAAGCCAUUCUAUCACUGUCAUUAUCACAUACCAAAUCUUCACGAAAGUAUCAACAUGACGUACGGACAAAUUCGAUUCCAAUACAUAACAGUUCCGUUUUUGAAUUAUCUUCUUGGUCUUCAUAUAUAGAUGCAACUGUAACUCUGUAAUAAAUAAAAUCAGUUUUAAAUAACAAAACGAAACAAACUCCCCAAUAAUGCUUAUAUUAGAGGCAUUUAUACAUCAUUUCAAUUAUUUUCGGUAAAUAGUCAAUUAAUGUGUGAAUUGAGAAUGUUUGAAAAAUUAGUGGAACCCAAUGCAUAUAAUUGGGAAUACCCUGUAUCUAAAGUGACGGUAGUGGCCUCUGUGCAUUACAAAUAUAACUUAGUUAGCGGUAUGAGUCAGAGCGCGAACCAUAAAGUUUUGCAAGAGUCGUGAGGAAGUAACGUCAGAUGGCGCCAAUUCAUCUGUAAACCCCUUGCUAAGCCCCACAUCGACGGGGGGUUGCGGAUGUAUGACGUGAAUAAUGAACGACCUUCGAACGGUAAAAUCGUUAGUCAGUCAUGUUGGUUGGUGUACGUGCUGAAAUAAGUAAUGUUGUGUUGUGUCGCAAAAAGUUGUUAGAAACAAAAAAGUAUUCCAAUUUUCGAAAAUUAUUUUGUGCAGCUUUUUUUAUUAUGGAACGAAUUUGUCUGUACGCCACGGCUGAAAUCAUGUCGAAAUGUGGUCAUGGACGCUAUGAAGAAUGUUUAAAGAACAAGUGUUAGCAUAUAAAUUCUACAUUAGUAGCAAACUUCCAGAGUACUAAUUGGUCAAAACAACCCUCCGAUCAAGUUGAUUGCUAACCGACAGCAACAAAGACCAACACUUAAAGUUGUGAUUGCAAAGGUGUGCUGUAUGCGCCCCAAACCACCCCAACCAAGACAGUUGUUAACCGAUUGUGAAGAAGACUUACACUUACAGUUAAUGGUCCCAUAACAUUUACAACAUAGCAAGCAGUUAUUGCCCUGAACGACCCCAAACCCAAGAUGAUUGCGAAGAAGACCAAUGCUUAAAGUUAUGCUAUUUAUUCACCUGUUCCACUUGUUCCAACAAGAAAAUGGUCUAGUCGACUAACAAAUAAGUACCUAAGUUAUAGAAAAGUAAGUAAUCAGAUUACGAAUUGAGUAGCAGUGAGAAAGGCAUUCAUUCAAAAGUAUUCUAUUUUGUUAUAUGCCAAGGAAUGGUCAGCUGUUUUAAUUUAUUGCCUGUACCUGCUCAUUAAAUCAAUUUAAACAACAAUUUAAUAAAACACAUGAAACAAAUGCAGUUGUGUGGCAAAACAUUUGGUAUUCAGGAAAAGUCACCUUCUUUUGUUGUGAAAUAAUCAUAAAACAAUAAAGCAGUUGUAGCAAAAUUAA